AAUACAUGUACCUCAAUAAUUUUAUCAAGGGCAUGUUUUGUGCUAGAUACUACUCUUUAUGUUAGGAAUAUAAGCAAUUGUAUAAGAUACUUACAGAUUGCAGUAAGUGGUAAAAAAUAUAACAUGAAGAGGGAAUAGUGAUGAGAAGGUAACUAUAUAGGGGAGUGGUCAGGGAGUGCUUCACUGAAGAUGUAAAAUAUGAACUGAAACCUAUAUCCUGAUUUAAAAUAGCUUUGCAGAUGUUUUAGGUAAAUAGCAGCAAGCGAACAAUACCAAAGUUUUUAUUUUUGUAAUUUGAAAUCAAUGUGCAAGCCAGAGCUUCUUUAGGAAAGACCAUUCCUGAGAGAACAACAGGAAGAAAUAUGAAUGUUAAACAUGUGGUGCCGUGUGGAAGCAAAGCUCCAUAAUUAAUCUAUAGAGCCAUCACCACUGUCAAAAGCAGAAAGGCCCCAGAGGAAAUAAUUUUUGUAUAGAAUGAUGGCAGCAUUAGUGACAGCAGUAAUGAUAAGACACUGAAAAAGGGAAUCAGAGCUAUUUCCAUGAAUUAAUGUCUUAAUCCCCACAACAAUGAGGUCGUGGUCAUCUAGUUGUAGAAUGACUCCUGCCUGCUACAUUUCCCCAGAUACCCAGGACCUUCAUGCUGUCACUCUCCAUGACCUGACCAACAUCUAUUUUGAGAAAUUAUUUUAUAUACUCAUUCAAACAGUCAUCUUUUGUGUCCAGAGUUGGUUCCUUCUGGUGGGUUCGUGGUCUCGCUAACUUCAAGAAUGGAGCCACGGACCUUCGCGAAACUGCAAGUCUCCCUCUCCAAACCAAAUUCCUGAGACUGGAGCCCUGACCUGAGACUGGAGGUGAUCCAAAUGCUGAUAGUCAUCCUUAUUGCCACUAUCCCACUCUGCAUUUCCUGGUUGGAUA
rnacentral:lncRNA from 1 species